UAUUACAAGUUUGAUUUUGUA
ensembl:piRNA 21ur-15232 ncRNA